GGUCACAUCAUGUUGAGACAUCGGUUCCCGUACAAUCACUGAAGUUAAGCAACGUCAAGCCUGGUCAGUACCUAGAUGAGUGUCCGUUUGGAAAUACCAGGUGCUGUAAG